UACAGAGGUCUCAAGCGUUGUUCGGAUUCAUUGGGCGUAAAGGGUGCGUAGGCGGGGAGGUAAGUCGGGUGUGAAAUCCCUCGGCCCAACCGAGGAACUGCGCCCGAGACUGCUUCUCUUGAGUCCCGGAGAGGAAGGUGGAAUUCCCGGUGUAGCGGUGAAAUGUGUAGAGAUCGGGAGGAACACCGGUGGCGAAGGCGGCCUUCUGGACGGUGACUGACGCUGAGGCGCGAAAGCGUGGGGAGCAAACGGG
rnacentral:rRNA from 1 species